ACGAAACAGAACUGUCCAAGUACAUAUGGGAGCUGAAGCGGAAGGAACACUAAAAGGUGGAGUAUAUAAUCAUAUCAAGUCAUUCAAACACGUCAAGUAUGAAAACGAAACAGAACUGUCCAAGUACAUAUGGGAGCUGAAGCGGAAGGAACACUAAAAGGUGGAGUAUAUAAUCAUAUCAAGUCAUUGAAACACGUCAAGUAUGAAAACGAAACAGAACUGUCCAAGUACAUAUGGGAGCUGAAGCGGAAGGAACACUAAAAGGUGGAGUAUAUAAUCAUAUCAAGUCAUUCAAACACGUCAAGUAUGAAAACGAAACAGAACUGUCCAAGUACAUAUGGGAGCUGAAGCGGAAGGAAGCCCAGUACACCAUAAGCUGGAGGAUAAUAAAGGAACCAAACACUAAAAGGUGGAGUAUAUAAUCAUAUCAAGUCAUUCAAACACGUCAAGUAUGAAAACGAA